rnacentral:rRNA from 1 species
UACGUAGGGUGCAAGCGUUAAUCGGAAUUACUGGGCGUAAAGCGUGCGCAGGCGGUUAUAUAAGACAGUUGUGAAAUCCCCGGGCUCAACCUGGGAACUGCAUCUGUGACUGUAUAGCUAGAGUACGGUAGAGGGGGAUGGAAUUCCGCGUGUAGCAGUGAAAUGCGUAGAUAUGCGGAGGAACACCGAUGGCGAAGGCAAUCCCCUGGACCUGUACUGACGCUCAUGCACGAAAGGCGUGGGGAGCAAACAGG